CGCACACAGACGAAACUGCGGAGGGCUGAGGCCCGCAGGAGAGACAAUCUCCAGGGUGUUCCUUCCCGGCCGGGGGCCGCUCCGCGCAGAGCGGCCGGGCAGCCGGAGCCAGCUGUGCCCGCUGGCGCAACGCGCCCGGGGCUGCCGGGCUCCCCAGGGCCGGGCUGGCUUCUUUCUGCCGGCCACCCGUGCUGCUCCCGGCGCUCCCCCUCGCCGGCAUUUCCGCGGCGAGGGCCGGUGCAGGUGUAACAGCACUGCUGCGUGUGUCAUCACCUCCACCAAAUGGCAGAUGCCUCCCUUUUGACUCCUAAGCCGGGCACACAGCUCCUGACCAGGGCUCGCUCGCAAAGGACAUUUGACAUCCUAGGGGCUUGUUUGGGCUUUUUUUUUUUUUGACAGCCCUAUCAAGGGGGAUUUCGGAUGAACACCAGGGCAGAAGCUCAGCCCAGCGCUUGGAGCGGCGAUCGGGCCGAGCAUCGGCAAAGAAUGAAGAUGUGGUGCCCUUUGCUUGUUGCUACUGCUGCCCAAAGUGCUGUGGGAACACUCUUACUGCAUUUCCUCCAUAAGGACCUGGCCAUAAGAAAGCAAGUUCCCAUCAUCUCAGAGCUGGUUCUGUAGCAAAGCACAAUUUGGCUUCCAGAAACGGUGUCAGCUGGAAGCCUUCAGCUCAGGACUAACGAAAAAGAAGAAAUCCAUGAAUCUCAGAACAAAGUCUGGAAUAGGAGAAGGAAUAACAUACAACCCUAAAGCAACUCUUUGGUAUCUCCAAAAGAAGGUCCCUUGGUGCCUGUGUGAAGACAGAAAAUGCAAGAUUACUUACACCCUUUUUGAAAUUCUAAGCUUGGGCAUUAUUGUAAACUUUUUCAGGGGAAGGGUGAGAACACAUUCAUAUAGUGACUUGGACAGUAGGAUCCCGAGCCUAUUCUGGAGCUUAUUGCAAUGUUAUUAAUAAGUAUCACUAGUGGAAUUAACGGCUCAUCUCUCAAGUGUUCCUCUGACCUGAGAAAGAGAGGUCUCAUGCUUCACAUUUAGAAAUGGUAAUUAGCAAAAAAAGGGCCUUGAGGGAGAAGAUAAAGAUGAGGUGAAAAUAUCAGCCAAUGAACACAUUGUAAAGAAGUUAUGUGGAUAAAACUGCUUGUAGAAUGCAAGUGUUUUAAAUAAAAUAGAAUAAAAUUC